rnacentral:rRNA from 1 species
CCUGGCGACAGGAUGCUAAUCCCAAAAACCUACUCUCAGUUCGGAUCGAAGUCUGNAACCCGACUUCGUGAAGCUGGAUUCGCUAGUAAUCGCGCAUCAGCCAUGGCGCGGUGAAUACGUUCCCGGGUCUUGUACACACCGCCCGUCACACCAUGGGAGUCGGAAAUGCCCGAAGUCGGUGACCCAACCGAAAGGAGGGAGCCGCCGAAGGCAGGUCUGAUAACUGGGGUGAAGUCGUAACAAGGUAUC